rnacentral:lncRNA from 1 species
GAAACUCUAACCUGUGGAUUGUCAGCCAUAACAGUGGUUUGAGUUUGAGCAUGCUCUUCGUCUGCACUAGCCUUUCCUCCUUUUUGGCCUUCAACAUUAUCAGUGUUAGUGGUAAUAUUUCCUUCAUUCGUUUCCUCUACAACCAUGUCUUUGACGCCCCAUCCUUCUCCAUGGGGAUCAUUCGUUCCUUCAGUUGUAUGUAAAUCAGCCCUAGGGGUUUCCUCAUCUUCA